rnacentral:tRNA from 2 species
GGGAGUGUGGCCGAGUGGUCUAAGGCGCUAGCUUCAGGUUGACCAGUUCGAAUCCUUUGGUAUUCGGAUUGAAAAGAUUUGUCUGUUAGUCUACAUUGUGGGCACGAGUUCGAACCUCGUCACUCUCA